GCGGCAACGCAAACGAAGUGGGGGACGUCGGCAGAAGCCCCGGGAAGAGUUCUCUUUUCUUUGUAAGGAACCCCAUCCCUGGAAUCGGCUUGCCCGGAGAUAGGGACCAAGGUUCCGUAAAGCACCGCGGCUCUUGCGGUGUCCGGUGCGCUUUUGUCGGCCCUUGAAAACCCCACGGAGACGGUGUUAUUUUCG
rnacentral:rRNA from 1 species